GUGUGUGUGUGAGAGUGAGAGAAUAUGUGUGUGUGUGUGUGUGUGUGAGAGAGAGAGAGAGAGAGAGAGAGAGAGAGAGAUCGUAGCAAAAGUAAAAAAGAAUAAGAGGAGGGCUGGAGACAGAACCGUAUAGACCAGGAAGCACUUGCUGUUGUUUUACUUAUUGUAGAGGUUUAGAACAUAGACUUUGUAUUUCAUUACUAACAUAUGAUAAAAUAAAUGAUAAAUAUAUGAGGAAUUCCAUUACUAACAAUUUAAUGUCUCAAAACAAGCUGAAAAUAGUUCGCUUUUUAACUAUUCUCUUAACAAAGCUGGACAUUUUAAAACAUCACAAAAGUCACAAGACUUGAUGUAGUCCCUCCUUUGCUGUUAUAAUAACCUCCACUCCUCUGUGAAGGAUUCCCACUAGAUUUUGGAGCAUGGCUGUGUAGAUUUGUGCUCAUUCAACUACAAGAGCAAUAGUGAGGUCAGGCACUGAUGUCAGUUGAGGAGGCCUGGGGUGCAGUUGGUGUUCCAGUUCAUCCCAAAGGUGUUCAGUGGUGUUGAGCUUUUCUGGACAACAAGAAAACCAGAGGACGCCCGUGGAAAAGUUUCACCCUGAAGUCCGUAUUGACACACAGGCGGUUUGCCCUUUAUUGUGCAGAGCGAAAGACCGACCUUACUACUGAC